UACGGAGGGGGCUAGCGUUGUUCGGAAUUACUGGGCGUAAAGCGCACGUAGGCGGCUUUGUAAGUUAGAGGUGAAAGCCCGGGGCUCAACUCCGGAAUUGCCUUUAAGACUGCAUCGCUAGAAUUGUGGAGAGGUAAGUGGAAUUCCGAGUGUAGAGGUGAAAUUCGUAGAUAUUCGGAAGAACACCAGUGGCGAAGGCGACUUACUGGACACAUAUUGACGCUGAGGCGCGACAGCGUGGGGAGCAA
rnacentral:rRNA from 1 species